rnacentral:rRNA from 1 species
GACGGAGGAUGCAAGCGUUAUCCGGAAUGAUUGGGCGUAAAGCGUCCGCAGGUGGCAGUUCAAGUCUGCUGUCAAAGACCGGGGCUUAACUUCGGAAAGGCAGUGGAAACUGAACAGCUAGAGUAUGGUAGGGGCAGAGGGAAUUCCUGGUGUAGCGGUGAAAUGCGUAGAUAUCAGGAAGAACGCCAAGGGCGAAGGCACUCUGCUAGGCCUGAUUUCGCGACUGACACUCAGGGACGAGAGCCAGGGGAGCGAAUGGG